rnacentral:rRNA from 1 species
AGCGGCGGAUGGGUGAGUAACACGUGGGGAACCUGCCCCUAAGUCUGGGAUACCAUUUGGAAACAGGUGCUAAUACCGGAUAAUAAAGCAGAUCGCAUGAUCAGCCUUUGAAAGGCGGCGUAAGCUGUCGCUAAGGGAUGGCCCCGCGGUGCAUUAGCUAGUUGGUAAGGUAACGGCUUACCAAGGCGACGAUGCAUAGCCGAGUUGAGAGACUGAUCGGCCACAUUGGGACUGAGACACGGCCCAAACUCCUACGGGAGGCAGCAGUAGGGAAUCUUCCACAAUGGACGCAAGUCUGAUGGAGCAACGCCGCGUGAGUGAAGAAGGUUUUCGGAUCGUAAAACUCUGUUGUUGGUGAAGAAGGAUAGAGGUAGUAACUGGCCUUUAUUUGACGGUAAUCAACCAGAAAGUCACGGCUAACUACGUGCCAGCAGCCGCGGUAAUACGUAGGUGGCAAGCGUUGUCCGGAUUUAUUGGGCGUAAAGCGAGCGCAGGCGGAAAAAUAAGUCUAAUGUGAAAGCCCUCGGCUUAACCGAGGAACUGCAUCGGAAACUGUUUUUCUUGAGUGCAGAAGAGGAGAGUGGAACUCCAUGUGUAGCGGUGGAAUGCGUAGAUAUAUGGAAGAACACCAGUGGCGAAGGCGGCUCUCUGGUCUGCAACUGACGCUGAGGCUCGAAAGCAUGGGUAGCGAACAGGAUUAGAUACCCUGGUAGUCCAUGCCGUAAACGAUGAGUGCUAAGUGU